UGGAGAGACAGGUAAUUUCUGAGAACAUUAAUCAUGACCAAAUCCUGAGUUCUAUUAUUAAUGAAAGAUCAAAUUUGGGUCCUUGGACUUGCAGGGCAAGCAGCAGAAGCACUGAGCUAAAUCCCUGGCCCCUAGACAAGACUUUUGGAUAGAGGAUGCAGAAGAAGGAAACAAAAAACAAAGACCUCUCAGCAGCAUUGAAAUAAAA
rnacentral:lncRNA from 1 species